ensembl:lncRNA
GAGGCUCCUCAGCAAUGUUGAUUUUCCAAUGGCAGCCACUCUAAGAAAUUCCUGUUCCCACCUUCCUCAAGCCACGGCUUUCUGCUCCUGGAUGUCAGCCCUGUUCUUUGAGCUGGGCACACCUGAACCUGCUGUAUUUCAGAAGUUGUAUUUUCCCUGGAGGAGCAGUAGAAGCCCAGCCACCAUGCAUUCCCUGCACUACACCAUGCCAGAGGGAUACCAAAACUCAGUGACUGGAGCCAAACGAUUGUUCCAUGUGUCUGUGCAUCAGUGAUUUGGGGUGAGUAUACAUUUUUAGGUGCUCCUUAAAACACUGGAUUGUCCAGCUUCAGCUGCCUGGGUUCAGGUGGAAAAUGGACCGGUGCCAUCUUUGCAGCUCAGCCUUCAUGGUGCUGAGGAAGGCAAUUGUACAAAUCCACUGUAAGCCUGAAUCAAAUGCUGCAAGAGGGAAAAGAUAUUGAAGUAUAUUGAACCACAGAGGAAAAAAGUCUAAGUGCAAUCUGCUCCAUUAAAAAUUUCAUAGGCCGUUACUUUUACAAUGCAAUUAGCUUUGCAAUUUCGAUGCUAUUGGAAGACCAGCACAGUGGAUAAUCAGGAGCAGAAAUGCCUGUGAAGGUACAUUUGCAGAAAACCUUUAGGUUUUAGCUAUCUUUCACAUGGUAUGUUCCUGACUGCACUCGCAUGUCGAUGACUGUUGUUCAGGUUGGAUAUUAAGGAAAACUUAUUCUCCAGAAGAGUGGUGAUGCAGUGGCACAGCUGCUCAUGGAGAUGGUGGUCACCGUCCCCUGGAGGUGCUCCAGAACUGUGGAGAUGUGGCACUGAGGGAUGUGGUCAGUGGGCAUGAUGGGGUGGGUUGAUGAUUGGACUUGGAGUAGGCUUUUCCAUCCUUAAUGUUUCUAUGAUUCUCUUGUUCUUUCCUCCUUCACUCAUGUCCAUUUCUGCAGUUUUAGCAAGCAAUCUCUAGCCCCAUGCAGCUGCUCAGGGUCUGCCAGCAGUGGGGGCUUUGUCAGCAGUUUCCCACAUCUGAUGCCAUAGCUUUGGAGGAGUUAAUGCUGACAUGUAAAGCAGUGACAGGGCUUUUCAUGUGAAUUCUGAUGAAAAGAAAAGGAUCCCAAGAGCCACAUAAACAUCUUUCCGUGGCUGAAUGCUUCAUACACAGUUUAUGUUUUAUUUUUAAUUCAAAGAACACAGUGAUUUUUUAAAUUUAUUUUGCUUACUGCAAGACUUAGGGAAAAGUUCCCAUUUCUUCAGGGUAGGGCCUAACUCUGGUCCUUCUUGAUUGUGGCAAUGCAUUGGCUGCCACACACCACAACUACAGUGAGGUUCUCCUGGGCAGAGAAAUGUUUUGGCUUUAUUUUUAUCACAACACCUUUCAUUUCAUUGUUAGGACUCUCAGCCCCACUGAAGCAGCAGAAGGGCUUUAACAUCAAGUUUAUGAGACUGCUGAGAUGCAGACCUCAAACCUGAGGGCAGCAUCUCCAUGCAGGAAUCCUGGUGGGCUCUACUGAGACUCCACAUCUCCAUAUGUCCCAAUGCCAGACCUGGCAAAUUUUGGUGGAAAUUUAUGGUGUGCAUGGGGAUAACCUUGCCCAACACAAGCUGUGGACAAGUAGAAUCAAAGAGUCAUUAAGAUUGGAAAGGACCACUAAGAUCAACUAGUCCAAUCAUUACCCACAUGGUAUGGGACCAGGGAGCUCAUUCAACUGACAGCAAGUCCCAUUAUAAUCUGUGUUCCUUCCCCCACCCUGAACCCCAGCUCUGCAGCAUGCAACCACACAAGAAUCGCUGAUGAGAAAAUAAAAUCUUAUUCCUUCUGGCUGAAAAAGAUAAA